AUAUAUUGUACUACUCAUGGUUACAAGACCAGUUGUAUGCAAUAUACAUCAUAGGCCUGGGUGUCAUCCCCACCCCUUAAGAUCAAAAACCUUAUUUUAUCUUAAAAAUUAUUGGAAUCCCCACCCCUAAACCAUAUAUUGUACUACUCAUGGUAACAAGACGACUUGAAUGCAAUAUACAUCUUAGCCCCAGGGGUCAUCCCCACCCCUCAAGACCAGACACCUUAAUUUAUCUUAAAAAUGGUUGAGAUCCCCUCCCUAAAAGUAUAUAUUUCCUUAUUCACAAUGAAAAGACAAGUUGAAUGCAAUAUACAUCUUAGCCCUGGGGUCAUCCCCUACCCCUCAAGAUCAGAAACCUUAUUUUAUCUGAAAAUGGUUGGAAUCCCACCCCUUAACCAUAUAUUGUACUACUCAUGGUUACAAGACCAGUUGUAUGCAAUAUACAUUUUAGCCCUGGGGAUCAUCCCCACCCCCUCAAGAUCAGAAACCUUAUUUUAUCUGAAAAUGGUUGGAAUCCCACCCCUUAACCAUAUAUUGCUACCUAUGGUUACAAGACCAGUUGUAUGCAAUAUACAUUUUAGCCCUGGGGGUCAUCCCCACCCCCUCAAGAUCAGAAACCUAAAUUUAUCUUAAAAAUGGUUCAGAUACCUUCCCCA
rnacentral:lncRNA from 1 species